rnacentral:lncRNA from 1 species
GGGUCUCACUAAGUUGUUCAAGGCCUUGCUGAAGUGCUGAGGUUGGCUUUGUAUUUGGCAAUCCUCCUGUCUCAGACUCUUGAGUCACUGGGAUUACAGGCAUGUGCCACUGUGCCUGGCCUCAUCUCUUAAUUUUUCUGCUCCCCUCCUACCUAAAUCUUCAGGAAAUAUUCAUUAUGUAUGUAAGUGUAGAAUUCUUAGAAACUAAUCACAUAAUGAGGAAACUGAUUUUAUUUACAGCUAAAUCUAUGCAACCUGGAGGUCAUUGAAAAAGUAAUUUCAUAUCCAACAAAGGAAGCCAAAGCUCUGUUUGGCUGGGGUUGUGAUGUCAAAUACACAAUUGUGUGGUAAAUCUAUGUUCCAACUAAAGGCUGAAGUACAGCAUGUUCGUAGAGAGGUCUGGACCAUUCAAUUAAUGUAAUGGUACAGUACCAAAAAAUGGAACAGUAUUUUCAAGGUCGUUCAGAUGGGCUCUUCGUACAUGUUCCAUUCUCAUCUGGUUGAAGAUACUUAUUGGCAUUCUUCCCCUUGCCAAAGCUAGCACAAUCUUCAGGAUUGGCAAAAACCUUUUUUGUUAGUCUAAAGAGUGAAGUUGCAGUACUCAAACAUCAUUUUUGAAAGAAUAUUUGUUGUAUAGGAGGCAAAAAGCCAUGAAUGCUUCAUUUUCUAUUAACUGGUGAGAUCAGCCAUUUUUUUAGUUUUGCUAUGGAAUGGUGAAUCCAAGGAGGACAACAUCAGCAAAGCUGUUCAGGAGGUAAGUCAUACAGGUACUAAGUAGUCAGUUUUAAGAAACAUCUGAUCAGUCUUGGAACAUCUGAGCAGUCUAUAGCUUGCUGUCUUGUCAAUGGCUUUCCUAUUAUGUUUACAUUUGAAAACGAGAAUAUUCUGUAUAGACUAGAAAUAGUAAUAAUGUCCUGUAAAAGAUCACAUGCUUAUUGACCAUGAGUGAGAAGCAUUCAUCUGUGGACCAAAUCUGUGCUGCACAAAACUUUGACUUGGAGUUAAUGCUUUGGAAAUCAGAUUUUAGCAGUGGGAACGUUAAACUGCCCCCAUCAGAUCCUGUGGAGUGUUCUAUCUUGAUCAUACAAUGCAGAGGAACACUCUUGUUUCUGCUGCACUGAUUAUGUUUUAUUAUGCCUCAUACAUUUUUAGCUUCUCAAAGAAGCCAACCAAUUAUAACUAUGACAAAUUAUCUAUACCAUUUUAAAUGGAUUGAUUUCUUUUCUGAAGCAUGCAUUCUUACAGCUGCCAUUUAUGUUUACACUAUCUACCCUCUUCAAUCAUAUUAACCAUUACCAAUCAAGUUCAUCUCUUACUUACUUCCUGAAUUAUUAUUGUUAUUUGGUACUGGGCAUUGAACCCAAGGGCAGUCUACCACUGAGCUACAUCCCGGCUCCUUUUGAAAAUUUUGAGCUGAUCUUAUUAAUUUGCCAAGACUGGCCUGGAGCUUGAGAUCCUCCUACUUUAGAUACCUGAAUCACUGGGAAUACAGGUGUUUGCCACCAUGCCUGGAAUGAAUUCUUCAUUAAAAUAAAUCAGGGCAAGAAAG